ACCCCCAAACAGCCGAGAUCCAUUUUAAUGAAUGGAUACGGGGGACCCGAUCAGUCGGGGCGCAUUCCGCAUGGGGAAAGAACAUUUUCACCCGGAAAGAGAACUUCCACUCUCUAGCCCGUCAGCUAACCUCGUAGGCGAUUGGAAGGGCAACG
rnacentral:sRNA from 2 species